CAGAGUUUUUAUGCCAGAAGUCUAUCAACAAAUGAUUUGCAGAACUGCACCUCAUUGCAAAAAGCAAUGUUUACCAUGGCAAUUUUGAGAAAGGAUCCAAUGAAUUCAAGCCAGUUCUCUGGGUACCAGUACUGGUCAGUGAGCAGGUUCAGAUGGCUAUGUUUUCACCUCCCUGUAAGUUUCACACAGUAAAUGCUAAUGUAAUUAUAAAAUAUCUGUGGGUGACCUUUCUGACCCCUGAGUAAUUUUGUUUGCUUUUGAUAUUUAGUCAUAGCAUAUAUUUAUCACCAGAGCAAAUUCAGUGUGGAGGUGGGCAAAAAUAUACUUAAGUAGCUCUUGACUCUUUGAAGCCAAUAGUAUCUGUUUGGUUUUGCUUGUUCACUCCUUGUAGUUUGUAGGAGUGUAACUAUCUCACAGAAGAUAGAUACUGAUUUUUUCCAUCACUGAUAGAAAGUCAAGAACAUUUC
rnacentral:lncRNA from 1 species